rnacentral:misc_RNA from 1 species
UAUGCUGUUCACCGACGUGUUCGAGGCACCCUGCUCACGUGCGCUGCCGCUCCUCGCUCUCCUCCUCUCCUCCCUCUUGGUGCCUGCCCGUCAACCUCGCACAUACCACAGCCGAGGUCACAGCCGACUGCGAUUACACAGAACGUCUCAUCCGUCGUAUAUAUCGGGCAGCGAGGCCUGCCUCUACACCGGGAGGGGUGGUGGCGUCUGACGCAACGUGCCUCCUUCACCCACCUUUGCUUCUACAGUGGCUUGCCGCGACUCUCUGUCUGUGAAUACCAAAUUCCCUUAGACUCACGCACACCCACCCAUCCAGCGAGCGCCCACUCGAGGCGCGGCGAAUCUGGCCGGCGGAUUGCUUUCCACCUAAACAGAGCCGUUUUCUCUUUGUUUGCCGUCGCCUCUCUGUGCUGCGCAUGGCGUCGACCACCGCGACGGACAAGGACUUCUUGGCCAAGAAGAUUGUCUCGGCUGAUGGGCCGAGGGGUGGGGAGGUGGUGCACGACGUGUCCCUUAGCGAAUGGUGCAUCACCCGCAUUGAGCCGGAGGAGGAGUCCAACCGUCGACGGUCGGUGCUCGAGCGCAUCGUCAACGUGGUGCGGGUGUGGAUUCGCCACACGAUGAUCACGGAGUUCCGCAUGCCAGAGGCGGCGGCGGCGCAAGUCGAGGGCCGCAUCUUUGCCACCGGCUCCUACCGAUACAACGUGCACACCUCUGGCAGCGAUAUCGACAUGGUGCUGAUUGCCCCCAGCCGCAUCACCCGCGAGCACUUUUUCAACACGCUGGCGCCACGGCUGAAGAGCGAGCCGUGGGUGACAGACCUGCACUGCAUUCGUGAGUCUCGCGUGCCGAUCAUUGCGAUGGUGUGCGACGGCAUCGACAUCGAUCUCUCGUUUGGGUCGAUCCGGCAGGACCGCGUACCGGAGGUAAUCACGGAUGACCUUCUGCAGGGCCUCGACGAGCAGUCCGUGCUGAGCUGUAACGCCGUGCGAGUGGCACACAACAUAAUGGAUCUCGUGCCGAACAAGGCCGUUUUCCGUCAAACCUUGCGCUUCGUGAAGGCGUGGGGCAAAGCAAGGUCCAUCUACAGCAACACCUUCGGCUUCCCGUCCGGCAUUGGCUGGGCCAUACUCACCGCCUUUGUGUGCCAAUGCUAUCCCAACCAGAACGCCGCCGGCAUGGUCACUCGCUUCUUCCGCACGUACCACACGUGGUUUAAGCCGAACCCGCACGAGACCGGCACCGAAAACCGCGCCAUCUACCUCACCGAGUCCAUGCGGGCCCGCACCCACCUCGGCCGCGGCUGGGACCCGCGGGAGUCUAAGUCGGAUGCGAUGGCACUCUUCCCGGUGCUGACGCCGGCGGUGCCAUACGGCAAUACCUGCUACAAUGUUACUCUCACCAACCUGCGCCAGCUCUGCGACGAGUUCCAGCGCGGCCACGAUCUGCUUAGCAAGGACCUCGGCAUGAGCGCGGCGGAGGCGAAGGCGAAGUUCGGCCCGUUCGGAGUUUGGUCGCGUGUGUUGGAGCCGGCCCCGUUCUUUGGCAAAUUCCAGCACUACCUGCAGAUCAAGGUCUCAUGCAGCGAUGCGGAGCACUACCAGGCCUACGCGGACGGCGUGGAGUCGCGCAUACGUAUCCUCUGGGCCGGCAACGCCUCGUCACGUGGCCACACGCUGGAGGACUACCGCCAGCUUCGCCUGCACCUGAACCCGCGCCGGUUCGAGGACCCCGAGGAAGUGCAGCUGCGCACGCGACUGACAAGCAAAGCCACUGGCGCGGCGGCGGCGUCGAGCCACACUCGCGGCAGCGUCGGCUCUCGCACCUCUGGCCAGCUUGGCGACGGCGGCAGCUCUCUCGUUGGUAGCAUCAACGCGAAGGAUAGCAGUGCCCCCUCAGGUCCGACGUGGUUCACGGCGCACUACUUCAUUGGCAUGGCCGUCGACACGAAGGUGUCCUCGGCCAAGAUCGACCUCGCGCCCGCCAUCCGUACCUUCCACACUGUCGUUCGCGAGCUUCGUCAGUACCGUGAGGGCGUCACGAGGCUGCCAGUGAUAACGGUUGUAGACAUGGCACGCAUCCCGACCUUCGUCAAGGAAGCAGCUGGGCACGUCGAGGAGACGGCGGUGGCGCGGGAGGAACGGAGCUCCGGCGAGGCGGAGGAGGCGCGCAACAGCAGCAACACUGCCGCAUGUGCAGACGCGGCCAAACGCGACGGCACAUCGGCGGCGUCGACGACAACAUCAAAGCCGAGCACGGCGACGAGCGGCUCCACCGGCACGACAGCGAGUGCGGCUGACGGUUCGGCCAACGAGAAGAGUCGCGGCCUUCACGACGGCGGUGCAGGUAGCGGCGCAGCAUCGAGUAUCGACAGCCACGCACGUAAGCGCACGCGAGAUCAGUACGGCACCGAUGGCCAAGCUACCGUGGCAGCCAAGGCGGAGACCUCGAUGACAGCUGCCGGCAGCGGAAGCGGUGCGGCUGGCAGUGCGCAGGCGGAGGAAGACGCCGACUACAUCGAGCAGGCGCUUGGGCUGGACUUCUAGGUGAACGCGCCACGAGAGGCUGCGGCGCCGAUGAAGCGGCGCGUAUAAACAAGCACGAAAAACCAAUGAUGUUUUGGUGGUGUGUGCAUGUGUGCCUGAUGCGGUGCCAGAUGCUCUGGCGCAUGUUCUGGGCGCACAUAGUAAGGAUGAC